rnacentral:rRNA from 1 species
GGUCAAGCUACAAAGGGCGCAUGGUGAAUGCCUUGGCAUCAGGAGCCGAUGAAGGACGUGAUAAGCUGCGAUAAGCUUCGGGUAGGCGCACAUAGCCUGAGAUCCGAAGAUCUCCGAAUGAGGAAACUCACAUGGGAAACCCCAUGUAUCAUUAAGUGAAUACAUAGCUUAAUGAAGGUAACCCAGGGAACUGAAACAUCUAAGUACCUGGAGGAAGAGAAAGAAAAAUCGAUUUUCUUAGUAGCGGCGAGCGAAAGGGAAAGAGCCCAAACCGGAAACUUGUUUCCGGGGUUGUGGACAUAGCAUAAAAGUGGAGGCUAUUGUAACUGAAGAGAACUGGAAAGUUCCACCGUAGAAGGUAAUAGUCCUGUAAGUGAAACGAGAAGACCACGAGUUAUGAUCCAGAGUACCACGAGACACGUGAAACCUUGUGGGAAGCAGGGAGGACCACCUCCCAAGGCUAAAUACUACCUGAUGACCGAUAGUGAAGCAGUACCGUGAGGGAAAGGUGAAAAGAACCCCGGGAGGGGAGUGAAAUAGAACCUGAAACCGUGUGCCUACAACCGCUCAGAGCCCCUUAUGAGGGUGAUGAGGUGCUUUUUGUAGAACGAGCCAACGAGUUACGGUAUGUAGCAAGGUUAAGUACUUAAGGUACGGAGCCGAAGGGAAACCGAGUCUGAAUAGGGCGACUAGUUGCAUGCCGUAGACCCGAAACCGGGUGACCUAUCCAUGGCCAGGUUGAAGCGAGGGUAAAACCUCGUGGAGGACCGAACCACGUUGCUGUUGAAAAAGCAUGGGAUGAGCUGUGGAUAGCGGAGAAAUUCCAAUCGAACCCGGAGAUAGCUGGUUCUCUCCGAAAUAGCUUUAGGGCUAGCGUCGAGUAUGAGUAGUGGAGGUAGAGCACUGAAUGGGCUAGGGGGCAUAGCGCUUACCGAACCUUAUCAAACUCCGAAUGCCACAUACUUUGAGCUCGGCAGUCAGACUACGAAUGAUAAGAUCCGUGGUCAAAAGGGAAACAGCCCAGAUCGUCAGCUAAGGUCCCAAAGUGUAAGUUAAGUGGGAAAGGAUGUGAGAUUUCUAAGACAACUAGGAUGUUGGCUUAGAAGCAGCCAUUCAUUAAAAGAGUGCGUAAUAGCUCACUAGUCGAGAGAUCUUGCGCCGAAAAUGUAACGGGGCUAAACUUACCACCGAAGCUACGGGCUUGAAC